UACGUAGGGGGCAAGCGUUGUCCGGAAUCAUUGGGCGUAAAGCGCGUGUAGGCGGCCCGGUAAGUCCGCUGUGAAAGUCGGGGGCUCAACCCUCGAAUGCCGGUGGAUACUGUCGGGCUAGAGUGCGGAAGAGGCGAGUGGAAUUCCUGGUGUAGCGGUGAAAUGCGCAGAUAUCAGGAGGAACACCAAUUGCGAAGGCAGCUCGCUGGGACGUGACUGACGCUGAGCGACGACGAAGCGUGGGGAGCAAACAGG
rnacentral:rRNA from 1 species